UACGUAGGUGACAAGCGUUGUCCGGAAUUACUGGGCGUAAAGCGCGCGUAGGCGGCUUUGCAAGUCGGGUGUGAAAUCCCCAGGCUUAACCUGGGAACUGCAUUCGAGACUGCAUUUCUAGAGUAUGGGAGAGGGAAGUGGAAUUUCCGGUGUAGCGGUGAAAUGCGUAGAUAUCGGAAGGAACAUCAGUGGCGAAAGCGACUUCCUGGACCAAUACUGACGCUCAUGUGCGAAAGCGUGGGGAGCAAACAGG
rnacentral:rRNA from 1 species